rnacentral:rRNA from 1 species
CCUACGGGAGGCUGCAGUGGGGAAUAUUGCACAAUGGGCGCAAGCCUGAUGCAGCCAUGCCGCGUGUGUGAAGAAGGCCUUCGGGUUGUAAAGCACUUUCAGCGGGGAGGAAGGCGGUGAGGUUAAUAACCUCAUCGAUUGACGUUACCCGCAGAAGCAGCACCGGCUAACUCCGUGCCAGCAGCCGCGGUAAUACGGAGGGUGCAAGCGUUAAUCGGAAUUACUGGGCGUAAAGCGCACGCAGGCGGUCUGUCAAGUCGGAUGUGAAAUCCCCGGGCUCAACCUGGGAACUGCAUUCGAAACUGGCAGGCUAGAGUCUUGUAGAGGGGGGUAGAAUUCCAGGUGUAGCGGUGAAAUGCGUAGAGAUCUGGAGGAAUACCGGUGGCGAAGGCGGCCCCCUGGACAAAGACUGACGCUCAGGUGCGAAAGCGUGGGGAGCAAACAGGAUUAGAUACCCGAGUAGUC